rnacentral:rRNA from 1 species
UGGGGAAUUUUGGACAAUGGACGCAAGUCUGAUCCAGCCAUGCCGCGUGCGGGAAGAAGGCCUUCGGGUUGUAAACCGCUUUUGUCAGGGAAGAAACGAGUUUCUCUAAUACAGGGACUUAAUGACGGUACCUGAAGAAUAAGCACCGGCUAACUACGUGCCAGCAGCCGCGGUAAUACGUAGGGUGCGAGCGUUAAUCGGAAUUACUGGGCGUAAAGCGUGCGCAGGCGGUUAUAUAAGACAGAUGUGAAAUCCCCGGGCUCAACCUGGGAACUGCAUUUGUGACUGUAUAGCUAGAGUACGGCAGAGGGGGAUGGAAUUCCGAGUGUAGAGGUGAAAUUCGUAGAUAUGCGGAGGAACACCGAUGGCGAAGGCAAUCCCCUGGACCUGUACUGACGCUCAUGCACGAAAGCGUGGGGAGCAAACA